UAUUGGUCAAUGGACGAGAGUCUGAACCAGCCAAGUAGCGUGAAGGAUGACUGCCCUAUGGGNUGUAAACUUCUUGUAUAUGGGANNCCNNNGNGUUACGUGUAGCUUUUUGUAUGUAUCAUAUGAAUAANNNANGNCUAACUCCGUGCCAGCAGCCGCGGUAAUACGGAGGAUCCGAGCGUUAUCCGGAUUUAUUGGGUUUAAAGGGAGCGUAGGUUGAUUGUUAAGUCAGUUGUGAAAGUUUGCGGCUCAACCGUAAAAUUGCAGUUGAUACUGGCAUCCUUGAGUACAGUAGAGGUAGGCGGAAUUCGUGGUGUAGCGGUGAAAUGCUUAGAUAUCACGAAGAACUCCGAUUGCGAAGGCAGCUCACUAGACUGCAACUGACACUGAUGCUCGAAAGUGUGGGUAUCAAAC
rnacentral:rRNA from 1 species